rnacentral:rRNA from 1 species
AGAGUUUGAUCCUGGCUCAGGAUGAACGCUGGCGGCGUGCCUAAUACAUGCAAGUCGAACGCUUCACUUCGGUGAAGAGUGGCGAACGGGUGAGUAAUACAUAAGUAACCUGGCAUCUACAGGGGGAUAACUGAUGGAAACGUCAGCUAAGACCGCAUAGGUGUAGAGAUCGCAUGAACUCUAUAUGAAAAGUGCUACGGGACUGGUAGAUGAUGGACUUAUGGCGCAUUAGCUUGUUGGUAGGGUAACGGCCUACCAAGGCGACGAUGCGUAGCCGACCUGAGAGGGUGACCGGCCACACUGGGACUGAGACACGGCCCAGACUCCUACGGGAGGCAGCAGUAGGGAAUUUUCGGCAAUGGGGGAAACCCUGACCGAGCAACGCCGCGUGAAGGAAGAAGUAAUUCGUUAUGUAAACUUCUGUCAUAGAGGAAGAACGGUGGAUAUAGGGAAUGAUAUCCAAGUGACGGUACUCUAUAAGAAAGCCACGGCUAACUACGUGCCAGCAGCCGCGGUAAUACGUAGGUGGCGAGCGUUAUCCGGAAUGAUUGGGCGUAAAGGGUGCGUAGGUGGCAGAUCAAGUCUGGAGUAAAAGGUAUGGGCUCAACCCGUACUUGCUCUGGAAACUGAUCAGCUAGAGAACAGAAGAGGACGGCGGAACUCCAUGUGUAGCGGUAAAAUGCGUAGAUAUAUGGAAGAACACCGGUGGCGAAGGCGGCCGUCUGGUCUGGAUUCUGACACUGAAGCACGAAAGCGUGGGGAGCAAAUAGGAUUAGAUACCCUAGUAGUCCACGCCGUAAACGAUGAGAACUAGGUGUUGGGGGAAUAACUCAGUGCCGCAGUUAACGCAAUAAGUUCUCCGCCUGGGGAGUAUGCACGCAAGUGUGAAACUCAAAGGAAUUGACGGGGGCCCGCACAAGCGGUGGAGUAUGUGGUUUAAUUCGAAGCAACGCGAAGAACCUUACCAGGCCUUGACAUCCCUUGCAGAGGUAUAGAGAUAUAUCCGAGGUUAUCAAGGAGACAGGUGGUGCAUGGUUGUCGUCAGCUCGUGUCGUGAGAUGUUGGGUUAAGU